UGGCUCAGAGGUUGAGGCGUCUGCCUCCAAUGCAGGAGACCCAGGUUCGAACCCUGG
rnacentral:tRNA from 1 species